AUUGAACGCUGGCGGCAGGCCUAACACCUGCAAGUCGAGCGAGCGGCGGACGGGUGAGUAAUGUCUGGGAAACUGCCUGAUGGAGGGGGAUAACUACUGGAAACGGUAGCUAAUACCGCAUACCAUCAGAUGUGCCCAGAUGGGAUUAGCUAGUAGGUGGGGUAACGGCUCACCUAGGCUACGCUCCCUAGCUGGUCUGAGAGGAUGACCAGCCACACGGGAACGGAGACACGGUAUAGAUUCCUACGGGAGGCAGCAGUGGGGAAUAUUGCAAAAUGGGAGCAAGCCUGAUGCAGCCAUGCCGCGUGUUGGAAGAAGGCCUUCGGGUUGUAGAGCAAUUUCAGCGGGGAGGCGUUACCCGCAGAAGAAGCACCGGCUAACUCCGUGCCUGCAGCCGCGGUAAUUC
rnacentral:rRNA from 1 species